rnacentral:rRNA from 1 species
UGAGGAAUAUUGGUCAAUGGGCGAGAGCCUGAACCAGCCAAGUAGCGUGCAGGAUGACGGCCCUAUGGGUUGUAAACUGCUUUUAUGUGGGGAUAAAGUGCGUGACGUGUCAUGCAUUGCAGGUACCACAUGAAUAAGGACCGGCUAAUUCCGUGCCAGCAGCCGCGGUAAUACGGAAGGUCCGGGCGUUAUCCGGAUUUAUUGGGUUUAAAGGGAGCGUAGGCUGUCUAUUAAGCGUGUUGUGAAAUUUACCGGCUCAACCGGUGGCUUGCAGCGCGAACUGGUCGACUUGAGUAUGCAGGAAGUAGGCGGAAUUCAUGGUGUAGCGGUGAAACGCUUAGAUAUCAUGACGAACUCCGAUUGCGCAGGCAGCUUACUGUAGCAUAACUGACGCUGAUGCUCGAAAGUGCGGGUAUCAAACAGG